UGCCAGGUAGUGUCAAAGUAGCACGGCGGCCUGUUAAGCCGUUCGGUGUUGGUGCGAGUCCAACUCUGGCAGCCA
rnacentral:tRNA from 1 species